GGCAAGAUGGCCGAGCGGUUAAGGCGGUAGACUCAAGAACGAUUCUCGCUCUUACAUGUUGCAAUGCAUGCGUAUUCUACUGGGGCAACCCGCGUGGGUUCGAAUCCCACUCUUGUCA